AUGCACCAACAAACAACACAACAGGCAUACAUUACAAUAAUCUGAGGCCUCAGAUGGGAGCUUCUCUUUGCGUGUUACUUCACUCUCUGAAGGUACGCUGCAGAAAAGUCCACCGAGUGUUUGAAAGUAAUGAGUUCUUAUUCACUGGGGUUGGCAUUAUGAGGGGGUGUCCCCCCCAUAAAACCAACAGCCUUUGUUUACCAGAUGGUAAUCUUUUCUAUUGAAGCCCCCCCCGAUGUCAUUUGAGGGGUCGGCGGCCGUGAGUGACCUUCUGGUCUCGUUGACGUUAGCCAGGGGGUUGAGGACAUCAAAGCAUUACGAUUGGCUGAUUUACAACACACGAAGAUAGGUACAGGCAGGCAAUAAAAUGUUUCACACGACUCUCGAACGUUCACACUUUAAAUGACCCAAAAGGAGCCCAGAAGGCAGACACUAUAUAAAAUUACACAGAAUAGCAACAAAA